rnacentral:rRNA from 1 species
CAGUAGCCGCGGGAAUACGUAGGGUGCAAGCGUUAAUCGGAAUUACUGGGCGUAAAGCGUGCGCAGGCGGUUUUGUAAGUCUGUCGUGAAAUCCCCGGGCUCAACCUGGGAAUGGCGAUGGAGACUGCAAGGCUAGAAUCUGGCAGAGGGGGGUAGAAUUCCACGUGUAGCAGUGAAAUGCGUAGAUAUGUGGAGGAACACCGAUGGCGAAGGCAGCCCCCUGGGCUAAGAUUGACGCUCAUGCACGAAAGCGUGGGGAGCAAACAGGAUUAGAUACCCCUGUAGUCCCUGUCUCUUAUAC